rnacentral:rRNA from 1 species
UACAGAGGUCUCAAGCGUUGUUCGGAUUCAUUGGGCGUAAAGGGUGCGUAGGUGGCGCCGUAAGUCGGGUGUGAAAUUUCGGAGCUUAACUCCGAAACUGCAUUCGAUACUGCGGUGCUUGAGGACUGGAGAGGAGACUGGAAUUCAUGGUGUAGCAGUGAAAUGCGUAGAGAUCAUGAGGAAGACCAGUGGCGAAGGCGGGUCUCUGGGCAUUACCUGACGCUGAGGAGCGAAAGUGUGGGGAGCGAACAGG